rnacentral:rRNA from 1 species
CCUACGAGAGGCAGCAGUGAGGAAUAUUGGUCAAUGGGCGCGAGCCUGAACCAGCCAAGUAGCGUGAAGGAUGACUGCCCUACGGGUUGUAAACUGCUUUUGUAAAGGAAUAAAGUGAGGCACGUGUGCCUUUUUGUAGGUACUUUAUGAAUAAGGAUCGGCUAACUCCGUGCCAGCAGCCGCGGUAAUACGGAGGAUCCGAGCGUUAUCCGGAUUUAUUGGGUUUAAAGGGAGCGUAGAUGGGUUGUUAAGUCAGUUGUGAAAGUUUCCGGCUCAACCCUGAAAUUGCAAUUGAUACUGGCAGCCUUGAGUACAGUUGAGGUAGGCGGAAUUCGUGGUGUAGCGGUGAAAUGCUUAGAUAUCACGCAGAACACCGAUUGCGAAGGCAGCCUACUAAACUGCCACUGACAUUGAUGCUCGAAAGUGUGGGUAUCAAACAGGAGUAGAUACCCUUGUAGUC